rnacentral:rRNA from 1 species
GAUGAACGCUGGCGGCGUGCCUAAUACAUGCAAGUCGAGCGAACAGACGAGGAGCUUGCUCCUCUGACGUUAGCGGCGGACGGGUGAGUAACACGUGGAUAACCUACCUAUAGACUGGGAUAACUUCGGGAAACCGGAGCUAAUACCGGAUAAUAUAUUGAACCGCAUGGUUCAAUAGUGAAAGACGGUUUUGCUGUCACUUAUAGAUGGAUCCGCGCUGCAUUAGCUAGUUGGUAAGGUAACGGCUUACCAAGGCAACGAUGCGUAGCCGACCUGAGAGGGUGAUCGGCCACACUGGAACUGAGACACGGUCCAGACUCCUACGGGAGGCAGCAGUAGGGAAUCUUCCGCAAUGGGCGAAAGCCUGACGGAGCAACGCCGCGUGAGUGAUGAAGGUCUUCGGAUCGUAAAACUCUGUUAUUAGGGAAGAACAAAUGUGUAAGUAACUAUGCACGUCUUGACGGUACCUAAUCAGAAAGCCACGGCUAACUACGUG